GAUGAAGAACGCAGCGAAAUGCGAUAAGUAAUGUGAAUUGCAGAAUUCAGUGAAUCAUCGAAACUUUGAACGCACAUUGCGCCCGCCAGUAUUCUGGCGGGCAUGCCUGUCCGAGCGUCAUUUCAACCCUCGAACCCCUCCGGGGGGUCGGCGUUGGGGAUCGGCACUUACCUGCCGGCCCCGAAAUACAGUGGCGGUCUCGCCGCAGCCUCUCCUGCGCAGUAGUUUGCACACUCGCACCGGGAGCGCGGCGCGUCCACGGCCGUAAAACAACCCAAACUUCUGAAAUGUUGACCUCGGAUCAGGUAGGAAUACCCGCUGAACUUAAGCAUAUCAAUAGCGGAGGA
rnacentral:misc_RNA from 1 species